rnacentral:lncRNA from 1 species
CCUUUUUUCCGCCUAAUUUCGCCUUUUUUUGCCCCUAAUUCCAAAACAUUUUGAGCCAUAACCCCCAGAGUCAUAACUAACCAUCCCAAUAUGGUAUGGAAACUUGUGGUAUAAUUUCAGAGAGAUUCAUAAACUUAAACACAAGUUAUAGUUUGAAAACUACAAAAAGGCUUAUUUUGGGCCCCUUUUUGGCCCCUAAUUCUUACACUAUAGGGACC